rnacentral:rRNA from 1 species
AUGAACGCUAGCUACAGGCUUAACACAUGCAAGUCGAGGGGCAUCAGGAAGAAAGCUUGCUUUCUUUGCUGGCGACCGGCGCACGGGUGAGUAACACGUAUCCAACCUGCCCUUUACUCGGGGAUAGCCUUUCGAAAGAAAGAUUAAUACCCGAUGGCAUAAUGAUUCCGCAUGGUUUCAUUAUUAAAGGAUUCCGGUAAAGGAUGGGGAUGCGUUCCAUUAGGUUGUUGGUGAGGUAACGGCUCACCAAGCCUUCGAUGGAUAGGGGUUCUGAGAGGAAGGUCCCCCACAUUGGAACUGAGACACGGUCCAAACUCCUACGGGAGGCAGCAGUGAGGAAUAUUGGUCAAUGGGCGCUAGCCUGAACCAGCCAAGUAGCGUGAAGGAUGAAGGCUCUAUGGGUCGUAAACUUCUUUUAUAUAAGAAUAAAGUGCAGUAUGUAUACUGUUUUGUAUGUAUUAUAUGAAUAAGGAUCGGCUAACUCCGUGCCAGCAGCCGCGGUAAUACGGAGGAUCCGAGCGUUAUCCGGAUUUAUUGGGUUUAAAGGGAGCGUAGGUGGACUGGUAAGUCAGUUGUGAAAGUUUGCGGCUCAACCGUAAAAUUGCAGUUGAUACUGUCAGUCUUGAGUACAGUAGAGGUGGGCGGAAUUCGUGGUGUAGCGGUGAAAUGCUUAGAUAUCACGAAGAACUCCGAUUGCGAAGGCAGCUCACUGGACUGCAACUGACACUGAUGCUCGAAAGUGUGGGUAUCAAACAGGAUUAGAUACCCUGGUAGUCCACACAGUAAACGAUGAAUACUCGCUGUUUGCGAUAUACAGUAAGCGGCCAGGCGAAAGCAUUAAGUAUUCCACCUGGGGAGUACGCCGGCAACGGUGAAACUCAAAGGAAUUGACGGGGGCCCGCACAAGCGGAGGAACAUGUGGUUUAAUUCGAUGAUACGCGAGGAACCUUACCCGGGCUUAAAUUGCAGUGGAAUGAUGUGGAAACAUGUCAGUGAGCAAUCACCGCUGUGAAGGUGCUGCAUGGUUGUCGUCAGCUCGUGCCGUGAGGUGUCGGCUUAAGUGCCAUAACGAGCGCAACCCUUAUCUUUAGUUACUAACAGGUCAUGCUGAGGACUCUAGAGAGACUGCCGUCGUAAGAUGUGAGGAAGGUGGGGAUGACGUCAAAUCAGCACGGCCCUUACGUCCGGGGCUACACACGUGUUACAAUGGGGGGUACAGAAGGCAGCUAGCGGGUGACCGUAUGCUAAUCCCAAAAUCCUCUCUCAGUUCGGAUCGAAGUCUGCAACCCGACUUCGUGAAGCUGGAUUCGCUAGUAAUCGCGCAUCAGCCACGGCGCGGUGAAUACGUUCCCGGGCCUUGUACACACCGCCCGUCAAGCCAUGGGAGCCGGGGGUACCUGAAGUACGUAACCGCAAGGAUCGUCCUAGGGUAAAACUGGUGACUGGGGCU